UACGUAGGGGGGCGAGCGUUGUCCGGAAUCAUUGGGCGUAAAGAGCGUGUAGGUGGCUUGGAAAGUCUUACGUGAAAGCCUGCGGCUCAACCGCAGAAGUGCGUGGGAAACUUCCUCGCUAGAGUCCGGAAGAGGAGAGUGGAAAUUCCCUGGUGUAGCGGUGAAAUGCGCAGAUAUCGGGAAGAACACCCGUGGCGAAGGCGGCACUCUGGGACGGUACUGACGCUGAGACGCGAAAGCGUGGGGAGCGAACAGG
rnacentral:rRNA from 1 species